GGCGGCGUAGCUCAGAGGUAGAGCAGGGCUCUCAUAAGGCCUUUGUCGGAGGUUCGAUUCCUCCCGCCGCCA
rnacentral:tRNA from 2 species